rnacentral:rRNA from 1 species
UACGUAGGGUGCGAGCGUUGUCCGGAAUUACUGGGCGUAAAGAGCUCGUAGGUGGUUUGUCGCGUUGUUCGUGAAAACUCACAGCUCAACUGUGGGCGUGCGGGCGAUACGGGCAGACUGGAGUACUGCAGGGGAGACUGGAAUUCCUGGUGUAGCGGUGGAAUGCGCAGAUAUCAGGAGGACACCGGUGGCGAAGGCGGGUCUCUGGGCAGUAACUGACGCUGAGGAGCGAAAGCGUGGGGAGCGAACAGG